AUUGAACGCUGGCGGCAUGCCUUACACAUGCAAGUCGAACGGUAACGGGCCUUCGGGUGCCGACGAGUGGCGAACGGGUGAGUAAUAUAUCGGAACGUACCUUUCAGUGGGGGAUAACGUAGCGAAAGUUACGCUAAUACCGCAUAUUCUGUGCGCAGGAAAGCAGGGGACCUUCGGGCCUUGCGCUGAUUGAGCGGCCGAUAUCAGAUUAGCUAGUUGGUGAGGUAAAGGCUCACCAAGGCGACGAUCUGUAGCGGGUCUGAGAGGAUGAUCCUCAACACUGGAACUGAGACACGGUCCAGACCCCUACGGGAGGCAGCAGUGGGGAAUUUUGGACAAUGGGGGCAACCCUGAGCCAGCCAUGCCGCGUGAGUGAAGAAGGCCUUCGGGUUGUAAAGCUCUUUCGGCCGGGAAGAAAUCGUAUGGGCUAAUACCCUGUGCGGAUGACGGUACCGGCAUAAGAAGCACCGGCUAACUACGUGCCAGCAGCCGCGGUAA
rnacentral:rRNA from 1 species